UGGGUCGUUAGCUCAGUUGGUAGAGCAGUUGACUUUUAAUCAAUUGCCACUCGGGUCGUUAGCUCAG
rnacentral:tRNA from 1 species